UCCACUGAGCAUGAGUUGGGACCUACAGA
rnacentral:piRNA from 1 species